rnacentral:tRNA from 1 species
AGGAUUAUAGUUUUAAAAAAAACAUUUAAUUUGCAAUUAAAAAAUAUUGAUUUAAUCAAUUUAUCUU